UGGGGAAUCUUGGACAAUGGGGGCAACCCUGAUCCAGCCAUGCCGCGUGAGUGAUGAAGGCCUUAGGGUCGUAAAGCUCUUUCGCCUGUGAAGAUAAUGACGGUAGCAGGUAAAGAAACCCCGGCUAACUCCGUGCCAGCAGCCGCGGUAAUACGGAGGGGGUUAGCGUUGUUCGGAAUUACUGGGCGUAAAGCGCACGUAGGCGGACCAGAAAGUUGGGGGUGAAAUCCCGGGGGCUCAACCCCGGAACUGCCUCCAAAACUAUUGGUCUAGAGUUCGAGAGAGGUGAGUGGAAUUCCAAGUGUAGAGGUGAAAUUCGUAGAUAUUUGGAGGAACACCAGUGGCGAAGGCGGCUCACUGGCUCGAUACUGACGCUGAGGUGCGAAAGUGUGGGGAGCAAACAGGAUUAGAUACCCUGGGUAGUCCACGCCGUAAAACGAUGAAUGUUAGCCGUCGGGC
rnacentral:rRNA from 1 species